CGUACUGUGGAGGCUGGUGCUGAAGUCCAUGGGGUUGCUGUAGCGUCCAUACCCAGCAACGGUGCGUGCUCUGACCUGCACCACGUAGGGCGUGGCAGCCCGCAGCCCCUCCACCUUGGCUGAGCUGUGCUGGGAAGUUACGUCUAUUACAGGCGUGGCAAACAUGUGGCACGGGGGCCAGAAUUGGCCCGGCGAAGCCUCCGAUCCGGUCCGCUGGGGAAUGUGAAGGAGGACAUACGAAUUGUGGACUUUUGACUCAUACAUUUCAUGGCUUGUAAAAUGAGUUUGACAUCCCUGGUCUGACCAGCUGGUUUUUUACUGCUAAUAAAUGAGCCAUUGAUAGCUGAAGAUUGGCAAUUUUCUUCUAGCUUUAGUGUCAUAGACCCUUUUACAGUUUGUAAACAGUGAUGACGUAGGCAGUAAAAGAGUCUGUAGUUCUUUUUAGUAUAUAACAUUAUCCUGGAAGUGUCACUUGUGACCACAGUACUUGGUGUUUAACAAAAAUUGCUGUUAUGUUUUAAAUUCAGACGAUAAGAGUUCUUUAAAACAAAUGCAGCUGAAGAUGAACUCAUAAAGAAAGAAUCAAACCUGUGCUGAUAUGCAGUGUAGCAGGAGUACGUCUUAAAAUUUUAAAAUGACUUAGCAUUUUUCUCCCCUGGCUCCUUUAUCUGGAAGUCAGCAGAUUUUAUUUUUUUUAUUGGGCUUUGUCGGUGAGACGACUGAAAUAAGGUCUGCAGUUAAUGCAAGCUUUAGUGAUAGUCUUGUAGUUUUGUACUACAGUUUUUGUACUACAACAUAGAAAAAUCCGAGUUAAUACCCCUCUUGUGUAUUCUGAAAAUGUAACCAACCCAAGCCAACACAGAGGAGCCAAAAACUACAGCUUCUUUAAUGGCCGUUUGAGGCUUGCUGUAAAAGUGAAUCAAUCCCCAUAGACGCCCAUGUUAAAAUGUCCAACUUUACAGCAUUAAAAACACAUGUUUACAGCCUGGCAUAAAAAAAAAACAGUUUGGGCCUCUGUGGAUAGUUUCCCUCUUCGUUAUAACUGUAUCCACCUGAAUACUGGAGUUGCACUAAUACAGUUUAUAGAUGCAGCUGCUGACCAAGCUUGUUAGUGUUUGCACUGUUAGCACUGUUAGCACUAUAUCAUCUAAAUAUUGAGGUUUUGGAGACACAUGACCUCUAACAACGUAACUUUAACCUGACUGUCAUUUGGACAAUGCAGGGUCAAGUGAACAAGGCCCAGUCACGCAGGCCUACAGGCUGGUCAAUGACAAACACUUGUGUAUGACUGGGUGGAAAAAGCCUCCUUGUGAUUUCUUUGGUCACUACUAUGUUGCUGCAGUCGUAGUUAAAAAUUAAAGCGACAGACGUGUACAAACACUGUCCAA